UUCCUGCAUAAAAGGACGACAAUCGAACGC
rnacentral:piRNA from 1 species